UAGUCCUAGCCGUAACGUUGCACACUUGGUGUGGGAGGUAUUGACCCCUUCCGUGCCGGAGCUAACGCGUUAAGUGUGCCGCCUGGGGAGUACGGCCGCAAGGCUAAAACUCAAAGAAAUUGACGGGGGCCCGCACAAGCGGAGGAGCAUGUGGCUUAAUUCGAUGCAACGCGAAGAACCUUACCUGGGCUUGACAUGGCGACCCUUCGGGGGUGGAAGUGAAAGCUUCCUUUACGAUCACAGGUGCUGCAUGGCUGUCGUCAGUUCGUGCCGUGAGGUGUUGGGUUAAGUCCCGCAACGAACGCAGCCCCUGUGGUUAGUUGCCACUCCAGGUGAUGAGCCUGGAAGCACUCUAGCCAGACUGCCUGUACAAGCAGGAGGAAGGUGGGGACGACGUCAAGUCAGUAUGGCCCUUACGUCCAGGGCUGCACACGUGCUACAAUGGCCGGUACAAUAGGCAGCAAUACCGCGAGGUGGAGCUAAUCCCCAAAACGGCCCCAGUUCGGAUUGAAGUCUGAAA
rnacentral:rRNA from 1 species